GAGGAUUCUAUGAAAAGAUGAAACAAGGAGCUCAGCACUGGGCCUGGUGUGUGGUGUAUGGCAGAUCAGGCCCUGGAGCUGGCUCUCUUCAACAAAAGUGCUCGGCCUAUGACCAUCUUUCAAGUCUCUAAAAGAAGUUACUACUACAUGAUUAAUGUCACCUGGUCAGUGAACACUGUUUACUAAAUACCAUCUUCUGCUGAUACAUGGAAGAAAAGAAGAUAUUUUUAAAAAAGAAACAAAAUCUAGCUUCUG